rnacentral:tRNA from 1 species
GCACCUAUAGCUCAGGCGGAUAGAGCGACAGUUUCCUAAACUGUGCGUCGGAGGUUCAAGUCCUCUUAGGUGCACCA